rnacentral:lncRNA from 1 species
AGGGUCUCGUGCCAGGGAAGACGGAGUCCACGUGCAGACAGAGGGAGCCCCCUGGGCCAGCGGCCGCCAUCACUGCUAAUGUGCUGAGGCAGCAACCAGCAAGGAGAAAGGCUGAUUCCGGCUCAUGAUUCCAGAGGUCCAGUCUGUGGUCGGGGACUCAGUGCUUUUGGGUCUCCAGUGGGGGAGCAGUGGCAGAGCAAGCUGCCCACCUCAUGGCCAGGAAACAAGAGAGCCGUGGGAAGGGACUGGGGUCCAGAGUCUCCCUCAAAGGCACCACCUAGGGACCAGGUCCCACCUCCUUGAGGCUCCGCCUCCCCAAUGGACAAAGCUGGGGGAUGGAACCUUUUACAUAGGAGCCUUUGGGGGACACUUGAGAAUGAGUCCCCACUUCUCUGAGAAGUGAGGACGGGAAGCUGUGUGCCUUACCUGGCAAGCCACGGUACCAGGAGCCAGUGCUGUGAGCUGUGUUACAGGAAGACAGAGCAGGACACCAGCCAGGAGAGCCAACACCUGACCCGGCAGGCCACCUGCUGUGCACAGGAAACUGUGGGUCGAAAACAAUCCUGCACCUGUCCAGAAACCCCAGGACUGAGAAGGCUGACCCUGAGGAUGGGCCGAGGGCGGGGCUCCAAGCAGAAGUGCCCCCACUGCAGCUCCUGGCCAAGGCAGGGUCUCGUGCCAGGGUAGACAGAGUCCAUGUUCCUACCCAAUGCUGGCUUCAAGGUGUGGGAGACAGAGUGAGGUCUGCGCAGGAUCAAGACACGAUGUGGACUUUUAAGGACAUACUUAAUGUGGUUUACUUGUUAACUGCCUUUUGUCUUUCUAUCUUUUAUCAUGAAAAGAUUUUUAAGGACCCAGAAAAGUUGAAAGAACUGUGCAAUGAGCAGUGCCCACCCUCGCCUAGACCAGGGCUGGGGACCCGCAGCCUGCAGUCCCAACCUCGCCCCUGUCCAUUUCUGCAUGGAGCGCAGCCAAGGUUGUUAAUGUUUUUAAAUAGUUGAAAAAUAAC